GACGAACGCUGGCGGCGUGCCUAACACAUGCAAGUGGAGCGACGAACCGGGCUUCGGCCCGGGGCCAAGCCGCGAACGGGUGAGUAACACGUGGGUAACCUGCCCUGAUGAUUGGGACAACCCGAGGAAACUCGGGCUAAUACCGAAUGUGCCCUCCGACCAUAAGGUCUGCGGGGAAAGGAAGCUUCGGCCUCCGCAUCGGGAUGGGCCCGCGGCGCAUUAGCUUGUUGGUGAGGUAACGGCUCACCAAGGCGACGAUGCGUAGCUGGUCUGAGAGGACGAUCAGCCACACUGGGACUGAGACACGGCCCAGACUCCUACGGGAGGCAGCAGUGGGGAAUCUUGCGCAAUGCGCGAAAGCGUGACGCAGCAACGCCGCGUGGGGAAGACGGCCU
rnacentral:rRNA from 1 species